UCAGGUCGUUUCCAACUUAUGGAGAUCCAUGGGAUUUUCUUGGCAAGUUUUCUUCAGAGGGAGUUUGCCAUUGCCAUCCUCUGGGUCAAAAAGUUAUUCUGGUCAGCGGUAGGAAUUCUUUCAUCCUCGAUCAGCCGGAGGAUUCUGGGAGCUAUAGUCCGAAGCGUUAACGUUUCCAGACCUUUGUUUCUAUCAAGUUAAGUAUCUUUGCUGAGCGGGGAUUUUGAACCGGGGUCGAAACCGCUGCGUCCCUGUUGAUUGUUUCCCCUUCCUAAUGGUUUUAUAGGGCGCCUUUUAAUUUCAACCAAUGUGCAGAUCAAUUGCGGAGGGGGGAACGGACAGUGAAAAAUAUGUUUGACUCGCAGGAACCGUGCUGCGUGAGCUUUGAGAGGCUGCGGGGGAAUGCUGCGACAGAAAAGCACGCUAAAAGGAGAUCGGUUCUGUAUUCCUGACACACCAAAAACUCGACGCUGGUCUUAUUGAGAGUUUCAGGAGGAUUUUGACAA